CCGAGGUUCAGAGAGGUAUACUUGCUUGGGCAGCCAGUCGGAAAUCCAGCACGCUACCCAGACCUAGGGCUAGCCCAGUCGGACUCCUUCACUGACUCUCAUGCUCGCUGAAAAGUUCUGCCAGAAAAACAAGGGGGUGGGGGGGUACAACUUGGUUUACGUUUCUCAUGAUGUUUGCUUUUGGGCUCUCAGGAAACUGGCACGUUUCGCUUGUGCCGAGUAAACGUGGGCUUUACUCCCAGCAGCACCAAAAACAUUUUGGAGGCAUAAGGCUCGGAAGCUGGCAUGCCAGCGGGGACAGAAAUGAGAGGAUGCAACAGCUGGUCAGGUGGACGGGCCCUGUCACCUUGGGGGAGGCCGGCGCUACACGUAAAGGGAAAUUCGCUCACUGUCUAAGGUGCUGGUGGAGGUGUCACAGCUCUCUGUCCCAGUCGGGGGACUGGCGGUGCAGAAAGUUUCAAAAUGAAAACCUGGAGACCCAAAUAAUCGCAAGCCAGAAAUCUGCCCAUCCAGCUUGAAGGAUUCCAGUCCCGUGGUCGCACAGAUUGUCUAUCUGGGAGGCUGAAGCUGUGCUAAGCCCUGAGUUUACUGGGAGCGUCUCGAUACUCCACGUUGGCUGGCCUUGCUCUUGGAGCUAAAGCUGGAAGGGAAAUCAUUUCUUUUUCUAUACCUCAGAGCAAUUCUACUCUCUUAAAGCAGGCCUCUGGCUCGCUGCUACUUUCCUUAGUUAGGUGUUCCAAAUGAUAUCAGUUCUGAGAAGAUCAAUUAUUAAUGAAAAGUCGGGGAAUGCUCACUGGUUAUUUGCAUUGAUUUGGUUGACAAGACGCAGGUUCCUUUUGAACUGCCUAAGUCUGUGGAAGGGACAGGGAGCAGAAAAAUGCAAGAAUCCAGAACAGCUGGGGGUUCGAGGCCUCCACCAAACUAGAGGGACCAUGGAGAGUGUAAAGCUUUGCCCAGGACGAGGACAUUGGGCCAUCCUCCCAGGGACCCCAAAUAAAGCCAUUUCCAUAAAGACAAAUGAUGGCUGCCGUUGGCCAGUACCGUGAGCAGCCACGGUGAUAUAAUUGGCCUGUUACCACAUCAUCUUUAAUCAAUAGGAUCUGGAGUUUUCCACACGGCUCAUGCGGCCCAAAUCUUACUGGCAGCCAAGAAUCAGCAGGUUGUUGAAAGGCCCAAUAGUUCUGCCUUGCUAAUGGGUGGCUUGUUCCCUCAACCCUGCUGAUUUUUUAAAUAAAGCUAAAUUCCAAUA
rnacentral:lncRNA from 1 species